rnacentral:lncRNA from 1 species
GGGGUUCUGUCUCGGGACAUCAGGAUAAGGUUGAAUUAGGGGUAUUAUACUUAAAGUGCAUUAUAUAUUUUUAAAUAGCUCAGAAGUUAUACCCAAAAUUUGUACCAGGAGAUUUUCUAGUUGAACCCUAAAGUUAUAAAGUGGGGUCCAUUCUCUUUUCUCACCGUUUUAUUUCCUUUUUGUGAUUCACUCAAAACUAUUAUUUAUUAUUUUGUCAAAUAAGAACCUCUAUUUGAGACCCCAAGUGAUUCUGUAUAAACCCUAAAAUUUUCAUAACAAUUAGAAACAGGAUCAGGGCCCCUAAAACUCAGGGGGGCAUUUCCCAUUCGAUAUUAUCCACACAGUUUCUUGUCAAAAACGAAUUUCUUUAAACCGUCGACUCAGCUAGGCUACCAGGACGCGAAGCAACCCUAUGCUGAAAUUGGACCCGUCGUGCCACGCGAAGGAUACAAGUCUCCCUGUCGCGACACGCGGGUUCGACGAACAAAUUCGAUUCAGGCACUGAGGUAUCGUCCAAAUACUACAGAAACACACACGAUCACGAAACGCUGCUACGAUACAGGGUAUUAACUCGAUCGCUGCUACGAUUCGAUGUCCGAUCGAUUGAAACUAUCCGAUGAAUGUUUAAGUGCUAAUCAAAUUGGGUUUAUACUUUGUCAUUCGUCGUGAUUCCGACAGGAUGUUUGAGUGUCACCGGAACUCUGGCUAUACUCUGUCAUUUGUUGCGAAUCCGCUGGAUGUUUAAGUAUUGCACUUUGUUAUUCGUCGUGAGGGUUUAAAUCUCGUGAGCUUAUCGUAAAAGUUGUAUUCAGUUAAUUACCUAGUUUCGUGUGCAUUAUCGCUUAAACUAGGUUAUCAGGCUUAUCAGUAUGCUAAACUUCACCCCAUACACUUACAAUCAAAGUAGAUGCUAAUUCUCAGAAGAAUUUGAAUUUGAAUCAGGAAGCUUGUUAAAUCAAUAUUGCAUGCUUAUAAUGUAAUUACAGUAGAUUGGAGUAAGAGUUGGAUACGGAACUGAAAGGCUUCAAGAAGUGGCUUAUUUUAUUAAUUAAAUCAAAUUAAGAAAUAU